CCCCGAAAGUUUUCUUGUUUGUUUGUUUAUCUACAGUCUCCAGAGCACAAGAAUAUAAACUCCUGACGUCAACCUUGACCACAGCUGUGUCCACAGAGCCCAGAACAGUGAGUUGUUCAACGCUCAAGGCUCUUUACUGUGUUAACCCUUGUUAUGCAGGAGAGGCCAGGAAACAAGUGGAGAACCAGAAGAGGAAGGAAAGCCCCACAGGGUAGGGGAACAUCUGGAUAUCCACCAAGUAAAGGAAGCUGUUUCCAGGAGAAAUCCAAGGAAGGAAAAAUCCAGAGCCUGAUGACAAUGUGGAGGUAGAAGAGGCUAGAAGGGCUGGCUUCCUUCUUUCUGCAUUGCUGGACCUACAGGAAUAAACAAGAGUUUCAAGUCUCAAGGGAGCUUUUCAGUCACGCUUCUCCUUCAGCAAGCUGCCUGAUGUUCACGUGAUCCUCUCUCACAGCCUCUGAGCCCAGAAAUAGUCUCAAACCAGCUGCUGGAAUCCAUCCUUCGGUCUGCUCCCAUCGCCCCUCAUCAUAGCCACAGGUGCUGUGGCAUCAAAGGCCACACUGGACAGUGUUGGGAGCGUAACAAACCCUGUGGGUGGCCAUGCCGCCUACAUAAACUGAGAAGACAGCUCCAUGGACUUCACACACUGAGAUGUCAUGAAGAGGAAACCUGGAUUCUAGAUGACUGCAAAGAGGUGGGACUGAACCGGGAUUGUGAACAAGGCAUGGCUACACGGGGGCUGGGGUUCUCUGACCCGCACCUUUGCUGCCCUUGCUGAGCUCUGCUUGAAGCCAACUUCCCGCCAUCAACGCAUGUACUGAAAGAAGAAUUUAUCUUCUGAAACCUCCUGGGCCGAGAUUUCCCCAAAUUGCUGGCAUAUUAAAACGAAGCCACCAUGUGAAAUACCGAGCGGGGAUCCAAGGCCACAGUCAAGUUCACCUGCCCCACCUGUCUCUAAGCCAUGCCCCUGGCCUCCACACUCAUCACUGGGGGCGACCUCUCCGUUCUGGGCCUCCAUGAUGACUGAGAAUGCACUGAAAUGGAGCCUCCAUGAAACUGCGUCCCUGAUGAACAGAGUCUCCUUGCUGAAUUGCGGUGGCCAUGGAAAAAUCCUUAUUACUGAAAUGGCUCCUUUAUAACCUUCUCCUUGAUCUUGGAUAUCGGCUUCUCACCAUCUAACUCUGGGAAUACAGAUGACAUAGUGUUGUAAAGUAAUGAGUGACCACAGAGCCGAUGACUCUCUAAAGAUGAGAAACAUAAUUACAAACGAACAUAAACAUGAACUUGCUCUGAGAACUUUCCACAUCAGUAGUUCUUAACAGUGUAGUCCACAGACCAGCAGCACCAGUAGCACCUGGACCCUUUUAGGAAAUGCAAAUUCUUGAGCCCUUUCUCAGACCUACCAAAUCAGAAACUCUGGCAACAGGGCCUAGACAUUUGCAUUUUAACAAGGUCUUCUUGGUGAUUCUGAUGGGCACUGAAGUUUGAGAACCACUGCUCAAUAUCACCUGUUAAUUCAUAAGGUGAAGAGAACUGAGUAAAUUCUACUGGGUGGGCCAAAAAUUGCCUUCGUUUUUAAAGUAAAAAAACAAAAGACACAUUUUUCAUUUUCACCAAGAACUUUAUUGAACAAUGUAUUCACUGUUUUGUUCCACUACUUUCUGCCAUUUUCCAGGCAACUUCAUAAUUCCAUCUUCCCAAAACUUUUUAUCAUUUUCAGCAAAGAACUGUUCCAGGUGCCUUAUACAGUCUUCCAGGGAAUUGACAUUUUUUCCAUUAAGAGAAUUUUGUAAAGACCAAAAUAAAUGGAAAUCCGAAGGCGCUAUGUCUGGUGAAUGCAGCAGAUGAAUCAGAACUUCCCAGCCAAGCUGUGACAGUUUUUGCCUGGUCAUCAAAGAAACACGUGGUCUUGUGUUAUCCUGAUGGAAGAUUAUGCGUUUUCCGUUGACUAAUUCUGGAUGCUUUUUGUCGAGUGCUGCUUUCAGUUGGUCUAAUUGGGAGCAGUACUUGUUGGAAUUAAUCGUUUGGUUUUCCGGAAGGAGCUCAUAAUAGAGGACUCCCUUCCAAUCCCACCAUAUACACAACAUCACCUUAUUUGGAUGAAGACCGGCCUUUGGUGUGGUAGGUGGUUGUUCAUUUCGCUUGCCCCGCGAUCUCUUCUGUUCCACAUUAUUGUACACUAUCCACCUUCCAUCACCCGUCACAAUUUGUUUUAAAAAUGGAACAUUUUCAUUACGUUUAAGUAGAAAAUUGCAUGCGGAAAUACAGUCAAGAAGGUGUUUUUCACUUAACUUAGGUGGAACCCAAACAUCAAAGUAAUUAACAUAACCAAGCUGGUGCAAAUGAUUUCAACACUUGAUUUGGAUAUUUUGAGUAUGUCAGCUACCUCCUGCGUGGUAUAACGUUGAUUGCUCUCAAUUAAUGUCUCGAUUUGAUUGCUAUCAACUUCAAGUGGUCUACCCAACCGUGGAACAUCGUCCGGUGAGAAAUCUCCAGCACGAAACUUCGCAAACCACUUUUGACACGUUUGAUCAGUCACAGCACAUUCUCCAUACACUGCACAAAUUUUUUUUGCAUUUCUGUUGCAUUUUUACCUUUUUUGAAAUCAUAAAGCAUAAUAUGCCAAAAAUGUUGAUUUUUUUCUUCCAUCUUCAAUAUUAAAAUGGCUACACAAAAAUUCACCAAUUUUGAUAAGUUUUUUUUAAAUGCACGUGGAUAUGA